CCUACGGGAGGCAGCAGUGAGGAAUAUUGGUCAAUGGACGAGAGUCUGAACCAGCCAAGUAGCGUGAAGGAUGACUGCCCUAUGGGUUGUAAACUUCUUUUAUAUGGGAAUAAAACGUUCCACGUGUGGGAUUUUGUAUGUACCAUAUGAAUAAGGAUCGGCUAACUCCGUGCCAGCAGCCGCGGUAAUACGGAGGCUCCGAGCGUUAUCCGGAUUUAUUGGGUUUAAAGGGAGCGUAGGUGGAUUGUUAAGUCAGUUGUGAAAGUUUGCGGCUCAACCGUAAAAUUGCAGUUGAAACUGGCAGUCUUGAGUACAGUAGAGGUGGGCGGAAUUCGUGGUGUAGCGGUGAAAUGCUUAGAUAUCACGAAGAACUCCGAUUGCGAAGGCAGUUCACUGGACUGCAACUGACACUGAGGCUCGAAAGUGUGGGUAUCAAACAGGAUUAGAUACCCCGGUAGUC
rnacentral:rRNA from 1 species